UUGGAAAUAGGUAAUAAAAAUCAAUACCUGAAACUUGUCGAAUAUUUUCACAUCCAGCUAUUUCUUCCCAUUCAUUCGUCUCCGUAUCUGUGAGUCUUUUC